GCCGGCCUGCCCGUCUCCCCAGUUCGCGUGGGACUCCAGUUCUUUUUGCGAAGGAGGCGCAGGAAAUUUGCCUCACCAUGAUGUGCUGGUUUCUGCCGUACAACAACGCAAGUCAGCCGUAAUUAUACACCUGUCCCCUCCCUCUCCAGCCGCCAGCAUCUCACCCUCCAGGUCAUCUCAGCGCACUGACCUGAGCUUCCCAUGUUAAAGAAUGACUUCUCAGCAGCUGUCUAUUUACACAUGGGAGUAAGCUGCUUCCACUUGAGCUUACUAGGGAUUUUGACCUCUGAGGGGCUCCUGUGUCCUCAAGAGCCCCUUGGCUCCCUCUCACGAGACCGUAGGGCGGUGACCCAGGCAGCGGUGGUGUGUCUGGGUCUGGGGUGCGACGGGAAGCAGGAAGCACCAGUCAUUUCACAAGAAGGCUGGAUGGUGGGGAGUGAGCCAGCGAAGGCUGGCAGACCCCCAAGGUGGGGUCGGAAAGUCUGGCCCGGCCUGCAGAACAUUUGGCUCCGUGUUGUUCUGUGGGUAGGUUAGAAAACACGGCAGUCCGCAAGGCUGCCCCAGCCCACCUGAAACCACCACCUCCUCUUGCCCAGCCUUGACUGCGUCUCUGCGAUGACAUGUCAGCUGCUGGCGGUGAGCGUCCGUGGCCCCGGGAAG
ensembl:lncRNA